rnacentral:tRNA from 1 species
UGCCCCUUGGUGUAACUGGCAACACGUCCGGUUCUGGUCCGGGAGAGUCUAGGUUCGAGCCCUAGAGGGGCAA